AAGUCGUAACAAGGUUUCCGUAGGUGAACCUGCGGAAGGAUCAUUAAUGAAUUUUGGCUUUUUAGCCAAUUCUUCUUUUUUCUGUGCACUUUACAAUUCACAAAUGCGCAAGCGUUUGUAUUUUCAUGCUUACUGUCGUCUGAAUGGAAAAUAAUAAUAAUCAAAACUAUGAACAACGGAUCUCUAGGCUCUU
rnacentral:misc_RNA from 1 species